rnacentral:tRNA from 1 species
CUCUGUGUAGUGUAAGUGGUUAACAUACUCAGCUGCUAACUGAAAUGUUGGGGGUUCAAGUCCACCCAAAGUUG